UUCAGACAUAUAUUUUACAUUGCAAAACCACCAUCUCUUCCAUUGUUUCUUCCCUAAAUCAAUCACAUCUAACGUUUGUAGGUAACAUGAAUAUGCAUGAAAAAACAAGGUGAUUUUAUAAAUUUAUGAGUUACUCAUGGGUUGUCCUCUUAAUUUGUCAUGAGACUACUCCACCAGAAAUUGAGCUUAGAAAUCACCACAAUGAUUGUCCUCAAUGAGUUUGCCAUCUUCCUUCACAAUGAUUGUGUGGAGCCUUCGAGAAUGAACACGAGCAUUGAUAAAAGGUAACAUUUAUAGCACGAUCACACUCUAACCUUGGGGCACAACUUCGCUUUCUUUCCAUGCCAGCUCCCUUCGGUAUUUCCCUCUUUUCUCUCAGCUCCGACACCUCCAUCCGUCCUUCCUAAUCCUCUAUUCUUUGUCCUUCCCUCAUUGCAUGUCCACCACUCCCACAGCUCCGCUACCGCACUCAGUUCCCCAACUGGCUGAAAAAUAUGGUGGAUUGACAUAAAAAACUGGUUGCCACGGGCUUCUGAAAUAUUUUGCUGAAGUUAUAUAAAGAAAAUGCAUGCUAAAUUUCACAGCUAGGAUAAUAUAACAUGGUCACAAUUGCAUAAUAAUUGAAGUCCACUUCACUUGUAAUAUAAACUGAUAACAAAAUGGCAAACUAACAAUGAAUAUAUAUAAAGUGAUGAUCCAACUCAAAAUCUAUUACAAACUAUUGAGAUCUACUUGAUGCGCUUAAGAAAUUCUCGCACAAUAUUAUGAAAGUUGUCUUUAGCUUCAUUUGCAUGAUGUUUGAGAAAGUAUAAUAAAAAGUUGCUUCCUCAACUCAUACCCAUCAUGCAAAAGUAUAUGUUUCACGUGGAAGGUCUAAGCACAUGUGUAACGGAAAAUACUCGCUGUGCAAACCGGCUUUGCCAAGUCUUUACCAUUCGACAAGAGCAUAAAAUGGAAAAAAUAUUAUUAUAUUAAAUAUGAUGAUAAGAAAAAUAAAUGGUUGUAUUAUGAAUUAAUUACCCGCCUACGCUCAUUGGAAUACCAUUAGGAAAUAAACGUUGCCAUUUUGAUAUAUCAGAAUGCUAUCCUGAUAGCUUUAUUUUGAGUGCUUCUUUGAAUUCUCUCACAAAACCUUUUGAUUUCACUAAGUGCCUCGGAUUUUCCAUCUCCAACGGUUGUGUUGUAUGAAUAGGGUCCAAAAUAGAUAAUCGAUGUGCCUUUGUGGAUAACGUACAAGAUAUAUCGAUCGAUGAAUUCACAUGGAAGAUAAAUCUACAAGUGGUAGCUAUUAGAAACAACAAUAAACAAUGACAAACAAUGGACAAAAGACCUUACUUACCAUGUUGCAUGAUGAGAUGUUACUGUCUAUCCCAGGCAGCUAUCAAGCAAAGUUGUCAUUCCAACCCAAUAGAAAAACUCCACUCCACCCCAUGACGCACCCUUCACUUUUCCUAUUGGACUCUCUCCUUCACUCUCGAUUUCCCGCUAUAAGACCCCACCUCGUCAUGCGCUGCAACAGAGACAAUUGUUUUUUCAUAUUUACAAUAUAAUAGAGUGAAACUAUAUACCAUAUUUUAUUUUUCCUGGGAGCAUAAUGGACUAACUUGUCAAUGUAACCUCGGUUGUAUACUACAUCUACAUCCCUGUCGAUGAACAUGUGCACUAUUGAACUACCUAUGCAUCUACAUCUCUAUGAAGAUACAUAUAUAACUGCAUCUUGGAUGAACACUAUUGUCAGUUUACUCGCAUGAGCCAUUCAAGGAAAGUAGUCUCUCUGUUCUAGUGUACCUAGAUGUACGAUGAAACAAACUUGUGAACCAAAGCAAUUUGAGUUGACGGAUGGACAGAGGAAGCGGGGCAAAGAUGAUUUAUUUAUGGGCGAUGGUGAAUUGCUACAAAUACGUAUACUCCAUCACUCCUACCUUCCAUGCAUGUCAGCAUCCGGUGCUACCGCUUGAUUCCCUGAAGAUUCCCUAACAAAUCAUUUCAUAUAAACUACUGUACCUAGCAAUGUAAAAAUACAAAAAUGAUAGAAUCACUAACCUAUAUAGAAAAAAUGGCACACUUCCGACCGUCCUACUGUUUUGGCUUCAAUUUGCCUCACCUUGCAUGUCACUGCAUCCUUAGGAAAAACAAACACAUUGAUAAUUAUAAUUAAGAACUUCACCUACAACAAAACAGAACCGGGAGAAACUCAUCGCUGUCAUUGUCUUCCAAGGCCCUCAUUGUCCUCUGGUAAUAUAGUUUGAGAGAAGUCCAUAUUACCCUCUCAAACUUGUCUUAGGCUUCACUUUACAAACCUCAACAUUGUGUUCAUUCAAGUUUCAUCCUUCAACUUCAUAAACCAUUCAUAAUUAUAUGGGGUCUGCUUCAGUAUAGCCACCUUAAGCGGGUCAAUGGUGGAGAUGAAAACUUACCC
rnacentral:lncRNA from 1 species